AUCCUCCAUCUAUUGUUACUUAACUCUGGUUUGGAUGCUCACCACUCAAAAGCCAGUAAUCAAGAGGAAAGUGUCAGUAGAAAGAAAAGAUGCUUUAAUCAGAAGAGUCAACAACCUAAGGAGAAGCUGGACUCAUAUGCUGAGACCAACUCCAAGGAUUCUUCUCAGUCACAACAGUUUUUAAAGGGGAAAAAUGGAGAAGAAUCUCAGUGAAUCAUCGAGGUACUGAAGUGUGAGCGUCUUUGGCAAGUGAGGGAACCAGGCUAUAAGUGAUGAAUGUCCCACUUAAAUGACACUUUGCGAAGCCUUCAUCAUGUACUGGCAGAAGAG